rnacentral:lncRNA from 1 species
UGGUAUCUGGAGUCGUUAUAAUUGUUAUAGUGGUUGUGAACUGUGCAUUCAUAUAUGUGUACUCGUUCGUUAUUCUCAUGAUUAUUCUGUUGAUUAAAUGUUCAUGCAUAAGCCCUUGCAUUUAGCCUUCCCUGCUUGCAUACUCAGUACAUCUUAGUACUGACGCAUUCGCGCUAUGGUGUUCUUUUAUUUUGGGGCACCAUAGGUUCAGAGGAGUGAAACUUGGAGCAUCUUAGAA